AUGACGAGCCAUUCCAUGCUGGUCCGACCUGGCCCAAGUCCCAACAUAGUGCACGCAGCCAUCAGCAUCAGUGUUGAUGGUACUGUUUGUGAAGACCAGGAAGAGCUUGGCCAGGAUGAUCCUAAGUUGUGGUUGUUCAAUCUGAUCGAAGUAGCAUCACAUGCGGAAGUUGUGAAGGUCCUGGUAAAACUAUGGUCCAUUUGGUGGGCUCACCGGAAAGUGAUUCAUGAGCAACAAUUUCAGAGUUCGCUAUCGAUGUUCUCCUUUAUCCAGCGUUUUUUGUCAGAGCUUGGAGGGCUACCAGUCAAGAAGUCUGACCAGCCCAGCCAACCUCGUAGGCCUGCCCGGGGCGGCUGGCAAGCUCUUGCUGCUGUGGGAAGUGCCAAAAUUUAUGCCGACGGAGGUCUUACACAUCCAGCGACACUUGAAGCCAUUGCAUGCAGUGAGGCAAUGUCGCUAGCUCUUGAUCUAAACCUCUCACGGUUACAAAUUGCUACGGAUUGUCUACAAGUGGUUCGCAACAUCGAGGAGGAUAACCCAUACAGUUAUGCGGUGAUCAUCAAGGAGAUUCUCGCGAAAAAGGCGUUGUUCCAGGAGUGCCACCGUGAGGGUAUUGAUGCGCUAGACAUGAAUCAUGUGCACACGAGUGGCACCAACGAAUGCUACCAUGCGUUGUAUGAUAGCUUGUUGGUUGAUGACAUAAACAUUUUACCAACAAGACUAACAUACAACCUGUUGGAAAUGCCCUUAGGCAGCGUCCGACGUGUCCCCAACUCAGACAAAUAUCAGCCACAAACAAAAUUUGGUGGAUCGCACUGCCCGCUGAGCUGGCUAGCCUACCAGCCAAGUUAA
rnacentral:rRNA from 1 species